CACGUAGGGGGCAAGCGUUGUCCGGAUUUAUUGGGCGUAAAGAGCUCGUAGGCGGCUCACUAAGUCGGGUGUGAAAUUUCGAGGCUCAACCUCGAAGCGCCACCCGAUACUGGUGUGGCUAGAGUCCGGUAGGGGAGCGUGGAAUUCCUGGUGUAGCGGUGAAAUGCGCAGAUAUCAGGAGGAACACCAGCGGCGAAGGCGGCGCUCUGGGCCGGUACUGACGCUGAGGAGCGAAAGCGUGGGGAUCAAACAGG
rnacentral:rRNA from 1 species